AUGAUGGUCCAGCUGACUCACCGGGGCUUCGCCGCGCUGGCGACGAAGGCCUACGGCGGCCUUCUGCACCUCCGCCUCGGCAAGGUCCACACCUUCGCCGUGUCGACGCCGGAGUACGCGCAGCAGGUGCUGCAGGCCCAGGACGCCGCCUUCUCGCACCGGCCAGCCACCAUCGCCACCACCUACCUCACCUACGACCGAGCCGACAUGGUGUUUGCCCACUACGGGCCCUUCUGGCGUCAGAUGCGCAAGCUGUGCGUCAUGAAGCUCUUCAGCCGGCGCCGUCCCGGGACGUGGCUCGCCGUGCGCGACGAGUCCGCGGCGCUAGUCCGUGCCGUGGCCCGGCGGAGCGGCGAUCCCGUGAAUCUCGGCGACCUCAUCUUCAACCUCAGCAUGAACGUCACCUUCCGCGCAGCGUUCGGCGCUGAAGCCGCCGCCAGCGAUGGCGAUGGCCGGAAGCAGGACGAGAUCAUCGCCAUCAUGCAGGAGUUCUCCAAGCUCUUCGGCGCCUUCAGCAUCGGCGACUUCAUCCCGUGGCUCGGCUGGGCGGACCCGCAGGGCAUCAACGUGCGCCUCCGAGCCGCCCGCACCGCCCUUGACGAGUUCAUCGACAAGAUCAUCGACGAGCACAUAAAGAGAGGCAAGAACCCUGACGACAUGGACGCCGACAUGGUAGACGGCAUGCUCGCGUUCCUCCCUGAAACGAAGCCAGAGAAGACCGCUGGCGACGACCUGCAGAACACGCUCCGCCUCAACCGUGACAACAUCAAGGCCAUCAUCCUGGACGUGAUGUUCGGUGGGACGGAGACGGUCGCGUCGGCAAUAGAAUGGGCAAUGGCCGAAAUGAUGCACAGCCCAGAUGACCUCUUGCAGCUGCAGCAGGAACUUGCCGACACGGUGGGUCUUGGCCGAAACGUGGACGAGUCGGACCUCAACAACCUCUCCUUCCUCAAAUGUGUGAUCAAGGAGACACUCCGGUUACACCCGUCCAUCCCACUGCUCCACCGCGAGAACGCCCGAGAAUGCGUGGUCGGCAACUACUCCGUGCCCCGGGGCUCGAGCGUCAAUAUCAACGUCUUCGCCAUGGGCCGCGACACCAAGUAUUGGAAAGACGCCGACACAUUCCGUCCGUCGCGGUUCAUGGCGGGGGAAGGGGAGGCAGCUGUGGUCGACUUCAAGGGCGGGUGUUUCCAGUUCCUGCCGUUUGGGUCUGGUCGUCGCUCGUGCCCCGGGAUGGCGCUCGGCCUGUACUCACUAGAGCUCGUUAUUGCGCAGCUCGCCCACGGGUUUAAUUGGGCGCUUCCCGACGGCAAGAAGCCGUCGAAGCUCGACAUGGGUGACAUUUUCGGCCUUACCGCACCGCGCGCCACAAGGCUCUGGGUCGUGCCCACGCCCCGACUUACCAGCCCUUUGGUUGUUGAUGUCUGA
rnacentral:rRNA from 1 species